ensembl:lncRNA novel transcript, antisense to TMC5
CUGCCUUGCCCAUUCCUUACCAUAGAAAACCACAAUAAAGCCUCUAGCCCGUUUCCCCUCACUCCCUCUGCCUCCUGAACAACCCUGAUGCUUCCCUGUGUGGUCCCUUGUGGCAUAGAGUGCCCCCUCUUCUCAGGAACUAUGGUGAUGGCCAGGGUGCACAAGACCCCGGUGAAGGAUGGGAAAAAGAGCAAGAAGAUGAAGAAAGUCAUCAUCUGUGAGGCCCGCCAGGCUUUGCUCGGAGGCUGGAAAUUCAUCAUCAGGCUGAUCUGAAGAGAGAGAGGCAGCCACCUCCCAUCUGCAGCCGGAGCAGCGGCAGAGGGACCCCAGCCAGGCCUGGCUUCCUGACACCUUUGCAGAGCCCCCUUCCCCAGCUUUAAGCGCCACCAGGUCACAGGUGACUGAACAAAGCUGAUUGAUGGCAAUGUCGGACUGACUCACAUUUUUGGAGUAGAACAUGAUGAAAAGCAUAAUCAUUUGGAUAAAGGGCAGCAGGGGGCAGAAGAAGAUGCCAAUCCUGUGAGGGAGAGAGGAAUCGUAACACUGAAAUGUGGUGCUGAAGUCAGAGCACGUAACACAAGGGAAGAAGUUUAUGGAGUUGGGGAUCUCAAAGAUCACAAAGGAAAACAACAAAAAAAACACAUAUAUGUGUUAAAGCUCAAAGUGAGAGCAAAUGAAUAAUGGCUGCACUUUAUUCCAAUUCAGUGUUUUUCUCUUUCCUGUAACAAAAAACAUUUAGCAAAGUCAA